rnacentral:rRNA from 1 species
GACGAACGCUGGCGGCGUGCCUAAUACAUGCAAGUUGAGCGCUGAAGGUUGGUACUUGUACCAACUGGAUGAGCAGCGAACGGGUGAGUAACGCGUGGGGAAUCUGCCUUUGAGCGGGGGACAACAUUUGGAAACGGAUGCUAAUACCGCAUAAAAACUUUAAACACAAGUUUUAAGUUUGAAAGAUGCAAUUGCAUCACUCAAAGAUGAUCCCGCGUUGUAUUAGCUAGUUGGUGAGGUAAAGGCUCACCAAGGCGAUGAUACAUAGCCGACCUGAGAGGGUGAUCGGCCACAUUGGGACUGAGACACGGCCCAUACUCCUACGGGAGGCAGCAGUAGGGAAUCUUCGGCAAUAGACGAAAGUCUGACCGAGCAACGCCGCGUGAGUGAAGAAGGUUUUCGGAUCGUAAAACUCUGUUGGUAGAGAAGAACGUUGGUGAGAGUGGAAAGCUCAUCAAGUGACGGUAACUACCCAGAAAGGGACGGCUAACUACGUG